AUUGAACACUGGCGGCAUGCCUUACACAUGCAAGUCGAACGCGAAAGGGGGCAACCCUGAGUAGAGUGGCGAACGGGUGAGUAAUGUAUCGGAACGUACCCAGUAGUGGGGGGAUAGCCCGGCGAAAGCCGGAUUAAUACCGCAUACGACCUACGGGUGAAAGCGGGGGAUCGCAAGACCUCGCGCUAUUGGAGCGGCCGAUAUCGGAUUAGCUAGUUGGUGGGGUAAAAGCCUACCAAGGCUACGAUCCGUAGCAGGUUUGAGAGAACGACCUGCCACACUGGGACUGAGACACGGCCCAGACUCCUACGGGAGGCAGCAGUGGGGAAUUUUGGACAAUGGGCGGAAGCCUGAUCCAGCCAUGCCGCGUG
rnacentral:rRNA from 1 species